UCCAACCCUCCCAAGUGGUUCCCCAAGUCCGCCGGAAUAGUGCAAAAUACAGUCCACAAAUUGAACUCGAAUUCGGACAGUAAGUUUUAAAACGACGAAAAAAAAUAAAUUAGGACAGUUAAACGCAAUAAACUUGACUUUUACCAUAACCCAAAGCGACGAUCUUUUGUGAUUCUUUUUGCCAGGACAGUGCGAUUUGCUGAAUCGAACCAGGAUUGUGAAAGGGUAGGUACAAUUCUCCUUCCCCACGUCAAAUGUGAGCAGUUGCAGAUCUUUACAUCUCUCUUUCAUCUCCAAGAGUCUCAAGUUCUGGUUUUAUUUAAUGAACUAGUGGUGGUAAUUGUCCCCUAGUUCGUUAUUACAAGGUCUCAAAAAUAUUACCGAAGGAGGAAAAAUGGUCACAGAUCAUCCCACAAACAUCGCCUGUUUCAAAAAGCAUCUCAAGCCGUCAAGCAUCGAUCGCAAACCACACCUGGCUUGGCCGCCGCGAGACAAUCGUCAAAUUACGAAAACAGCAAAAAAAUCGAUUUUUUUCACUAAAACUGCGAUAACUUUAAAAUUUCAGCAAUGACCUAUACUACCCAUGUUCAUAUAAAUGUCCCAUAUGCAAAAACAGCAAGCUGAGAAAAACGCAUUUGAAGUUUGUCCCACACAUAAGGCUACGUGUUAAGUUUUCACGAAAAAACUGGAUUUCCUCCUGAUUUCUAGAACAAAGUACUGGAUGUUAUAGGCUCUUUUGAAAGAGCACACGAUUUUGAACCAAACUGCAUCAAUAACUCAAAAGUGAUGAAAAUGCAUAUGGGACAUUUAUGCGAUCAUGGACAGUAUCACUUGCGCCAUCUACAUUCGAGUUGUCGAAGUAGCAUCGCGCGAUUACGAAUGAUUUCUCAAAAUGUCUUAUGUAAUAAUUAACUAAAACAUUUACAGCCCAUGUUCACAUAAAUGCCCCAUAUGCAAAAACAGCGUGCUGAGAUAAACGCAUUUGAAGUUUGUCCCACACAUAAGGCUACGUGUUAUGUUUUCGCGAAAAAAACGGAUUUCCUCCAGAUUUAUAGAACAAAGUAUUGGAUGUUAUAUGGGUCAUUCCAUCUGAAGCAGAACAGCAUUUGAAAAUUACCCUCUCCGAUCCUGCUCAAAUUUGGCAGGGCUGAUGUUACUAUCAAAACAUGCAAGAAUCCCGAAUUUCAUCCAAAUCGGACCACCCCCUCCAUUUUUGUACCCUCCCAAAAAAUCGACUUUUUGCCGAUUUCUGAGCAAAACCCCUAUCUUCAAACGGCGAUAACUCAGGAACCACAAAUCUUAGAGGGUCGGUCUUAGACUCAAUUUUGAAGGAAAUUGGACGUAGAAUCCAUUUCCGUGAUGUUGAUUAGUUUAUUUUUUCUAUCUGUAUUGCGCAAUUGAAAACCUUAAACGGCCGUAUCUCAAAACACCCCAACUUAUUUUUUUUAUUUGACCUCACCGUCGUGUUCCCCGGCCAAUUUUACAUAAGAAUCACUUAUCGACAGAAAUGAAUAUGUUUCGUUCCAGAGAUAACGAAUUUUAAAGUUUAGUGUUUUCGAGAUUACCUACAUCAGCUUCAUUCGCCGGUGAGGUCAAAUAAAAAAAAUAAGUUGGGGUGUUUUGAGAUACGGCCGUCUAAAGUUUUCAAUUGCGCAAUACAGGUAGAAUAAAUAAAUUAAUCAACAUUUUGAUCACGGAAAUGGAUUCUACGUCCAAUUUCCUUCAAAAUUGAGUCUAAGACCGACCUUCUAAGAUUUGUGGUUCCUGAGCAGGGUAGGUAAACCAUCACCAUCGCACUAUCAUUGAUGCAUAUUUCGGUGCGUUCCUCGUCUCUUAAAAUUUCUCUUCUCUUUCGCAGCCGAGUGAUGGUCGGCUUGCUAUCGCGAAUAUCGAAAGCCCAACGAACCGACGAGAAAUACCGUAUCGCUGGCUCCGAUGGAACUAUCGUUUCAACCGGAGAGACACGCACACGAAAUUGCUGUAUACAUACACUGGAGCUCACGCACACAAAUGAACUCAUUUCUACAGGACUUACGGGCGAGAAAAUUUCACGAUUGCUCUUUCUCUUGCUUUUUGAGCGAGGGGACUGGCCGUGUGAGAGAUUUUUUUCCGUCUUACACAUCGGUUUGUUCGUUGCUCGCUAUUUCAUCGGCGUCGUUUUCGCUUCGCUCUCUUGAUGCAGUUUUGGGAGAACGCCGAAAAUUUAAUGAUUUGAGCGAGGGACGAUAUUUAAAAGCCCUCGCCAUCGGCGAGGAAACGAGAAAAUACCAUCCCUGUUCCUGAGCUAUCGCCGUUUGAAACUAGGAGGUUUGGUCAAAAAUCGCCAAAAAGUCGAUUUUUUUGGGAGGUACAAAAAUGGAGGGGGUGGUCCGAUUUGGAUGAAAUUCGGGCUUUUCGCGCGUGUUUUGAUAGUAUCAACAGCUCUGCCAAAUUUGAGCAGGAUCGGAGAGGGUACUUUUCAAAUUUGCACUUUUUCGUGCACAGUUGAGAUGGAAUGACCCAUGCUUUUCUUAAAGAGCACACGAUUUUGAACCAAACUGCAUCAAUAACUCAAAAGCGAUAAAAAUGCAUAUGGGACAUUUAUGCGAUCAGGGGCAGUUUAGCAUUAGUAUGGUGCUAGAAACAGUGUUUUGGAUUUAAGUUUGUCUUUAUGAUUCUAUGUAAUUUAUCAUGGAUACUGAAAUUGCCGAAAAUUUUAUAGAAAUGGUAUUUUAAAUAUAAAUUCAUAUGACCAUUUCAUAAAAUGCCCAUGAGUUAGCAUCAUCAGCUGGCUUUGUUUACGUUUUAAACCACGUGGCGCGAAGAUUUUGACAUAAGCGAUCUCCACUGAAAAUACGCCACCCUUUUUAUUCAAAUGCCCAAACACAUUAAUUAUUAAACAAAGCCACAUCUUAGAUCUAAUUGGUUUGUGUUUCAACAUCAAUCCAAAUCAGAUCACUAUCAAAUGCAAGUGUUUGGACGAUUAACUUUUUAAUAUUUUUUGACACGUUAUUGUCAUUCGGGUGGCUCAAGCUCAUGAAUUUGUCCCACUGUCUUGAACUAUUCAAAGUGAUGAGGAAAAAACUUGAAAUUGAUCUUAAGACCUACACAAAACAAGCACUAUUCAAAGUCAAUGUGAUUUUCCACUUGAAUUUAAUGUGUUUCACUGAUUGAUUUUAGCGCGACAUUUAUCGAUGGCUAGAAGCGAGGCUAGAACGAGUAGCACAAAAAACUUUAGUGUCUUGCGAACCUUCGAGGUGAACGGACACUAGAGCUGCGGUAUUUUUUACUACCUAAGCUCAGAGUUAUUUCAAACAAAAUUCACAGUCUUUUUAAAGACUAUAGUUAUUUUCCAAAAUUCUAAACAAUCUUUUCAAGACUAACCCCAUCUGAAAUUUUGUUGUAUUUUACAAACGAAGCCAUCUUUUCAAGAGAACUUUUGGUACGUUCGUUUGAGGGCUAGUUCCGCACUGAGUGCCGCACUCAGAGCUGUCAAAGUGUUUGUUUGAAGAAACUAGCGCGAGUGUCGCACGAGUUUCGCCGCCAUCUUGGAACUGAAAGUGCGAGUGCCGCACUCGAUUUAUUUCUAGUUUCGUGCGAGUUUCUCGCACACCAACAAGCGAUGUUUGUAAACAUCGAAAUCAGCUGUUCGUUCAAAACAAGCUGAUUUUGUUUCUGUCAUACGACUUCUGAGGAAAUUGAUUUUGUUAAAGUUUUCGAUUGUUGAUUGGUGGACAAGUUGGUGGCUUGAUCGGAAAAUAAUUUGAUUUGGGUGGCCAAGCGGAAACCAUCCCGUAGAAGCUGAUGUACGUCAAGAAGGAGUACAAGCGAUGCCGUUUCCGGGAACGGUUUCAUCCGGACGGACGACGACCGGUCAAGAUUCGCAAGAAGGGCAGCUAGGCACCGUGAUCGGUCGUUCGGUUGUUCCUUCCGGCAAAAUGUGUGGUGAUUACAAAAGACAACAGUACAAGGACAUUAUCAAGCCUAUCAACUCGUCGAGCCGGAAGAAAUGCCUGAGUGGAUGAUCCUGCAAAGAAUAUCGCUGAUGCCAACCUGGCACACUCCGACCUGGAACCUAAUGGCGAACAUGCUGCCGAGCUGGCCGAGUGCGGAAUCGCGAGCUACGACGCACUUCCGACAGGAUCGAAGGAUAAUCACGGACAUUCUCGGCGAUUCUAACGAACAAGUGAACCAAUAAAACCAGAGAAAGUGUGUAUUUUGUGAACUGUUUGGUGUGAAAAAAUGAUGAAAAUAAAAUUUUCUACUGGAUA